CAUUAGGUUGAUUCUGCCUAACGUAGAUGCUAGUCUCUGAGAUUAAGCCAUGCAUGUCAGUGAAGCCUUACGGCGGAACGGCGAACGGCUCAGUAAUGUUGCGGUAAUUUGGUCUCUGUGUGUAAACUAACCACGGUAACCUGUGGCUAAAAGCGGAGAAUAAGGCGCAACCCUAUCAGCUGUG
rnacentral:ncRNA from 1 species